rnacentral:rRNA from 1 species
GGGACACUGUCAGGUGGGCAGUUUGACUGGGGCGGUCGCCUCCCAAAAGGUAACGGAGGCGCUCAAAGGUUCUCUCAGUACGGUCGGAAAUCGUACGUAGAGGGUAAAGGCAAAAGAGAGCUUGAUUGCAAGACAUACAGGUCGAGCAAGGAUGAAAAUCGGACUUAGUGAUCCGGUGGUUCUGCGUGGAAGGGCCAUCGCU